GACGAACGCUGGCGGCGUGCCUAAUACAUGCAAGUCGAACGCAGUGGGGACGGGUGAGUAACACGUGGGUAACCUCCCAUCAGAGGGGAUAACACUUUGAAACAGGUGCUAAACCGAUACUGAUGGAUGGACCCGCGGUGCAUUCGAUAGGUGGUGAGGUAACGGCUCACCAAGGCGACGAUGACUAGACGACCUGAGUGGGGGCUCGGCCACACUGGGACUGAGCCACGGCCCAGACUCCUACGUGAGGCAGCAGUAGGAAAUCUUCGGCAAUGGACGAAAGUCUGACCGAGCAACGCCGCGUGAGUGACGAAGGUUUUCGGAUCGUAAAACUCUGUUGUUAGAGAAGCGGUAUCUAACCAGAAAGCAACGGCUAACUACGUGCCAGCAGCCGCGGUAAUAC
rnacentral:rRNA from 1 species